GUUGCCAACAGUGAGUAAUAGCUUCCUUCGCAGCGGACUUUAGCCAGUUAAGUGUCGGUACAGCGACUGGGCCAACGUUAGGCCUGGUUUCACCACAUUACCCUGCAGUGCUGCCCAGAUGAGAUUAAGAAUCCGCGUGAGGCAGAAUCUGGAAGGAACGCGCCGGCGCCACACCCUCCCGCCCGGCCGCCCGCUCGCACUGACAGCCCGCGCGGGUGCGGGGCCCGGGCCUGUGCGCCGGGGGCCGCGGGGGACCCGGCCCCGCCCCGGCCUGCUGCCCCGCCACCGCCCCGCCCGCCCCCUGCCCCCCCCCCCCCCCGCGGCCCGCCCCCCCCCCCCGGCCCGCCCAGAGACGACCGAGGCCUAAUCGCCGCCUGGGCUGCGGGGCCUAAAGAAGGAGGGGGCCGGCGCUGAAGAGGGGGCGGCCACGCCGCCGCCGCCUUGGUUACUCAGCGAGGCGGCAGCUUCCGCGGCCCUGGGCUCCGGCUCUCCCGCUCACGUGCUCCUGAAAGACGGUUUCACUCUCUUACCCUCUGCAAAAUCCUCCUUAACAUGGCUUAAACACCACCCGGCGCCGCCCCGGUGACUCUCCGAACCUUCCGCGGGGCCACUCAGUACUCGGGGGUACGCGAGAGGGAGGGACUGAGCCGGGAAAGGACUGGGAGGAGGUCGGGGCGAGGCUGUAGCGGCGGCCACUCGGGCUGCCCCGACUUCCCCACAGACGGCGAGAGGGAGCGCGCGCGAACGAGCGAAGAGGUAGCCAGCGAGCGCCCGCCCGCCAGCCUGCCGGGCCGCCCCCGUAACUGACAGCUAGGCGGACCCGCCCGCCACCGCCCCGCCCUCUCGGCCUGUCCAUCUGCGGGAGGCGGGGUUGGAAGGGGCCUGGCCCGCGCCUGCGGCCAAUCGGAAAAGGCGGCGGCGUGGGCGGUUGCGUGACGGACAGGCGGCAGGACGCUGGCGCCGCCGCUCCUUCCGGCGGGCUGGGGGACAACGCGGGCGCCGAACGCACGCCCGCACUCUGUCAGAGGACGCGCCCGCGCGCAGACAACGUACCCUCUAGGGGAACCUGGAGGGGGUCCCUGACUGCGACGCAAGAAGGGGUCUCUGAGCGGGUACCUGGGACGGCACCUCAGAUUACUCUGUAAAAUUUGUCACUGUGACCCAGGCCUUGGCCGUUCCUGAACUGGAUCCUCAUUUCUGCUGGAAGCGCUUGGAAGCAAAGGAGAGAAUCGCAGACACGAUUAACCGGUCUGAUGGGCUUUUUUUCUCCCCUGGUCCAACCCCUGGCGCCUUUCCGUACUCCCUUCCUGCUUCUAAUAUCAGCCAAAGGGAAAGUAAAGAAUCGGAAGAAAGGGUAGGAAGAAACUGGAAUUUGAGUUGGUAAGAGAAGUUUGGGGUUGUCAUCUUUGGACUAUAGCAACAAUAAUGGACUGAUGUCGCUAACAUGUUGCACCAUCUAAAGCCCACGCUUGGCCCAUUCUCCUAGGGAAUUUUAAAUCCUCUUCUGACAAUAGAUGUAUGAAGUGAAUCGACCUUAAUGCGUCUGUUUCAUAGAUUAAGAAAAAAUAAUGAGGUCACAGAUAAACAGUGUGCCAAAACAAGGACGUGGACUUGGAAGUGGACUUGGACCUGACUUCCAGGCACGAUGUUAUUAUUUAAACUCAAAAAUACAGCUGCGGAAUCCUACCAUUCUGCCAGUAUUCACGAGCCAAGAGGUUCGACUUUACCUUGAGGAGGGGGAAAGAGAAGCCUUUAAUAAUGUUUAAGUAGGAAAGGAGAGGAGGAGAAUAACGCAACUAACCUUGCUGGGGGUGGGAGGGGAGGGUGGGGAUCUGAAGUCUACCAAGCAAUGAAUGGAGCGCUUAUUAGAAAAUACCCACAGAUCUUCUGAAAAAAAUGCAGCAAAUCUUAUUUUCAAAUUACUUAAUGUAAAAGUGUUUUGUAAAAUGUAAAUAAAGCAUUAUAUGAUGUAA